UCCCUGGUGGCCUAGUAGUUAAGGGUCCAGUGUUGUCACUGCUCUGGUGCAGGUUUGAUUCCUGGCCUGGGAA
rnacentral:tRNA from 1 species